rnacentral:rRNA from 1 species
AAAUUGAAGAGUUUGAUCAUGGCUCAGAUUGAACGCUGGCGGCAGGCCUAACACAUGCAAGUCGAACGGUAACAGGAAGCAGCUUGCUGCUUUGCUGACGAGUGGCGGACGGGUGAGUAAUGUCUGGGAAACUGCCUGAUGGAGGGGGAUAACUACUGGAAACGGUGGCUAAUACCGCAUAACGUCGCAAGACCAAAGAGGGGGACCUUCGGGCCUCUUGCCAUCAGAUGUGCCCAGAUGGGAUUAGCUUGUUGGUGAGGUAACGGCUCACCAAAGCGACGAUCCCUAGCUGGUCUGAGAGGAUGACCAGCCACACUGGAACUGAGACACGGUCCAGACUCCUACGGGAGGCAGCAGUGGGGAAUAUUGCACAAUGGGCGCAAGCCUGAUGCAGCCAUGCCGCGUGUAUGAAGAAGGCCUUCGGGUUGUAAAGUACUUUCAGCGGGGAGGAAGGUGUUG